UGGCUCAGAACGAACGCUGGCGGCGUGCCUAACACAUUCAAGUCGAACGCGAAAGCCCCGCAAGGGGUAAGUAGAGUGGCAAACGGGUGAGUAACACGUGGGUGACCUGCCUUCGAGUGGGGGAUAACGUCCCGAAAGGGACGCUAAUACCGCAUGACAUCCUGCGUUUGGAAACGCGGAGAUCAAAGCCGGGGAUCGCAAGACCUGGCGCUUGAAGAGGGGCCCGCGCCUGAUUAGCUAGUUGGUGGGGUAUCUUGCUCACCAAGGCAGCGAACAGUAUCCGGCCUGAGAGGGCGGACGGACACACUGGGUUCCUGCUCCGGCCCAGGAUCCUACGGGAGGCAG
rnacentral:rRNA from 1 species